rnacentral:ncRNA from 1 species
UGACCUCGGAUCAGGUAGGGAUACCCGCUGAACUUAAGCAUAUCAAUAAGCGGAGGAAAAGAAACCAACAGGGAUUGCCCCAGUAACGGCGAGUGAAGCGGCAACAGCUCAAAUUUGAAAUCUGGCCCCCCCGCGGGCCCGAGUUGUAAUUUGCAGAGGAUGCUUUUGGCGCGGCGCCUUCCGAGUGCCCUGGAACGGGACGCCAUAGAGGGUGAGAGCCCCGUCUGGUCGGACGCCCAGCCUCUGUAAAGCUCCUUCGACGAGUCGAGUAGUUUGGGAAUGCUGCUCUAAACGGGAGGUAUAUGUCUUCUAAAGCUAAAUACCGGCCAGAGACCGAUAGCGCACAAGUAGAGUGAUCGAAAGAUGAAAAGCACUUUGAAAAGAGGGUUAAACAGUACGUGAAAUUGUUGAAAGGGAAGCGCUUGUGACCAGACUCGGGCGCGGCGAAUCACCCGGCGUUCUCGCCGGUGCACUUCGACGCGCCCGGGCCAGCAUCAGCUCGCCGCGGGGGACAAAGGCGCCGGGAACGUGGCUCCCCAGGGAGUGUUAUAGCCCGGCGCGCAACGCCCCGCGGCGGACUGAGGUUCGCGCGUCCGCAAGGAUGCUGGCGUAAUGGUCACCAGUGACCCGUCUUGAAACACGGACCAAGGAGUCGUCCUCGUAUGCGAGUGUUCGGGUGUCAAACCCCUACGCGCAAUGAAAGUGAACGCGGGUGAGAGCCUCGCGGCGCAUCAUCGACCGAUCCUGAUGUUCUCGGAUGGAUUUGAGUAGGAGCAUACGGGGCCGGACCCGAAAGAAGGUGAACUAUGCCUGUGUAGGGUGAAGCCAGAGGAAACUCUGGUGGAGGCUCGCAGCGGUUCUGACGUGCAAAUCGAUCGUCAAACAUGGGCAUGGGGGCGAAAGACUAAUCGAACCUUCUAGUAGCUGGUUUCCGCCGAAGUUUCCCUCAGGAUAGCAGUGUUGAUCUCAGUUUUAUGAGGUAAAGCGAAUGAUUAGGGACCCGGGGGCGCUCUUCAGCCUUCAUCCAUUCUCAAACUUUAAAUAUGUAAGAAGCCCUUGUUGCUUGGUUGAACGUGGGCAUUCGAAUGUAUCAACACUAGUGGGCCAUUUUUGGUAAGCAGAACUGGCGAUGCGGGAUGAACCGAACGCGAGGUUAAGGUGCCGGAGUGGACGCUCAUCAGACACCACAAAAGGCGUUAGUACAUCUUGACAGCAGGACGGUGGCCAUGGAAGUCGGA